UGAGCAAUCUGCCCUUCUCUUUGGAAUAAGCGUUGGAAACGACGUCUAAUGCCGAAUACGACCUCUUUUCGCAUGAUCGGAGGUGGAAAGCUCCGGCGGAGAAGGAUGAGCUCGCGGCCUAUCAGCUAGUUGGUGUGGGUAAUGGCCCACCAAGGCGACGACGGGUAGCCGGCCUGAGAGGGUGACCGGCCACACUGGGACUGAGACACGGCCCAGACCUCCGUACGGGAGGNAGCG
rnacentral:rRNA from 1 species